GACUCGGUGGUGGACGGUCCGCAUCUGCUUAAAUUACAUAGGUUGUUUUCACGCCAGAAUCCAGCAGACGGCGCCCGUUCGAUUCGGGUCCGAGUCA